UGGAGAUUGAAUUUUUGAAAAAGCCUUUGG
rnacentral:piRNA from 1 species